CAGUCGCCGCGGGAAUACGAGGGGAGCUAGCGUUAUUCGGAAUUACUGGGCGUAAAGCGCACGUAGGCGGCUUUGUAAGUUAGAGGUGAAAGCCCGGAGCUCAACUCUGGAAUUGCCUUUAAGACUGCAUCGCCUGAAUCCAGGAGAGGUGAGUGGAAUUCCGAGUGUAGAGGUGAAAUUCGUAGAUAUUCGGAAGAACACCAGUGGCGAAGGCGGCACACUGGACUGGUAUUGACGCUGAGGUGCGAAAGCGUGGGGAGCAAACAGGAUUAGAGACCCCCGUAGUCCCUGUCUCUUAUAC
rnacentral:rRNA from 1 species